GUGAUUCAGAUCUCUGUCCUCAGUCGCCUCAUCUGCCAGAUUAGGCAGCCCCUCUUGAAUAUCUACAGGAUCCUGCCCAACUCUCCUUUCUGGCCUUCUGAUAGAUUCCACACAUUCAACCAGGGGGAGCCCCAUAGCUAAGUUUCUUUCCUCAUCGGUCUGUGCUGGGGACCACAAGGUGACCCCCUUCCCACUAUGUGCAACCAGGUGAUCUGCUGCGUGGCCCUUUGUCUCUUUGGAGCAGGCACCGUGGCUGGGGAGGUCACUCAGACCCCUAAAUACCUGCUCAAAAAGGAAGGUGGAGCUGUGACCCUGGAAUGUGAACAGGAUUUUGAUUACGACUCAAUGUACUGGUACCGACAAGACCCAGGUCUAGGACUGAGGCGGAUCUUCUUCUCGCAAGUUGUAAAGGAUGUUCAGGAAGAAGACAUAGCUAAAGGCUACAGCGCUUCUCGCGAAAAGAAGCCAUUCUUUCCUCUUACUGUGACAUCAGCACAAAAAAACCAGACGGCUCUAUAUCUCUGUGCUGCUAGUAGAGACACAGUGAAUCAAAGCCACCUCCUCUCUGCACACAAAUGA